AUCUAGAGCCUAAAGGCGUAUGUGUCUAUAACGAUACCGAGUAUAAGCCGGGUACAAACUUUUCCAAGAGCCUAUGUGAAUACUGCCACUGUACCGAUAAACAGGAUCCCCAAACUAAGCUGAACACUGCAGUGUGCUAUCAAAUACGUUGUUCCAUGUCUUGUAGCGAGGGCUACACGUACGUAAAUGAGGCUGGGCAGUGCUGUGGAUCAUGUAAACAGACCAGCUGUAUUUUUGACGUCCCCGGCUUGAACUCCCCAGUUAUUGCUAAGCCUUCACAGUCGUAUUCACCUCCGAACGACAACUGCACCACAUAUAACUGUGAGAAGGUGAAGAAUGAAUUCGUUGUUUUCAGAAACCAAACCACAUGUCCAGAGUUUGACCCAGACAACUGUGUCCCAGUGAGUAUAAUUAAGACACUGUAAAUCAC